GAUGAACGCUGGCGGCGUGCCUAAUACAUGCCAGUCGAGCGAACGGACGAGAAGCUUGCUUCUCUGAUGUUAGCGGCGGACGGGUGAGUAACACGUGGAUAACCUACCUAUAAGACUGGGAUAACUUCGGGAAACCGGAGCUAAUACCGGAUGAUAUUUUGAACCGCAUGGUUCAAAAGUGAAAGACGGUCUUGCUGUCACUUAUAGAUGGAUCCGCGCUGCAUUAGCUAGUUGGUAAGGUAACGGCUUACCAAGGCAACGAUGCAUAGCCGACCUGAGAGGGUGAUCGGCCACACUGGAACUGAGACACGGUCCAGACUCCUACGGGAGGCAGCAGUAGGGAAUCUUCCGCAAUGGGCGAAAGCCUGACGGAGCAACGCCGCGUGAGUGAUGAAGGUCUUCGGAUCGUAAAACUCUGUUAUUAGGGAAGAACAUAUGUGUAAGUAACUGUGCACAUCUUGACGGUACCUAAUCAGAAAGCCACGGCUAACUACGUG
rnacentral:rRNA from 1 species